rnacentral:rRNA from 1 species
CCGCUUUAAAGCACUCCCCCCGGGGGAGAACGGGCGCAAGGGCUGAAACUCAAAAGGAAAUUGACGGGGGGCCGGCCAAGCCGCCCGAGCAAUGUGGUUUAAAUUCGAAGCAACGCGAAGAACCUUCCCAGGUCUUGACAUCCUCUGCCACCCCCUACAGAUAGGGCUUUCCCCUUCGGGAGCAGAGUGACAGCUGGUGCAUGGUUGUCGUCAGCUCGUGUCGUGAGAUGUUGGGUUAAGUCCCGCAACGAGCGCAACCCUUGAUCUUAGUUGCCAUCAUUUAGUGGGGCACUCUAAGGUGACUGCCGGUGACAAACCGGAGGAAGGUGGGGAUGACGUCAAAUCAUCAUGCCCCUUAUGACCUGGGCUACACACGUGCUACAAUGGACGGUACAAAGAGCUGCAAGACCGCGAGGUGGAGCUAAUCUCAUAAAACAGUUCUCAGUUCGGAUUGUAGGCUGCAACUAAAAAAAAAGAAAAAAAAUCAUGUUUAAUCGCGGAUCAGAAG